rnacentral:rRNA from 1 species
GUGCUAGAAAGCAACGAUGAUUACCUCCGGAUGACCUUAGGCGAACAGCGAUAGAAGACCCCGGUCUUCAUGCGUCCCAAAGUGCCACGGGGGACAAGAACUCCCAAGGCACUGCCGAUAGCAAACUCUAAAGUUACCGGAGAUAAAUCCUUUGCAGACGACUUAAAUAAAGAACGGGGUAUUGUAAGUUGUAGAGUAGCCUUGUUGCUACGAUCUUCUGAGAUUAAGCCUUUGUUCUAAGAUUUGU